rnacentral:rRNA from 1 species
GACAGAGGGGGCAAGCGUUGCUCGGAAUUACUGGGCGUAAAGGGCGCGUAGGCGGGAUGGCAAGUCGGUCGUGAAAUCCUUCGGCUCAACCGGAGAACGUCGAUCGAUACUGCCGUCCUUGAGGAUUGCAGAGGAGACUGGAAUUCCCGGUGUAGCGGUGAAAUGUGUAGAGAUCGGGAGGAACACCGGUGGCGAAGGCGGGUCUCUGGGCAAUUCCUGACGCUGAGGCGCGAAAGCGUGGGGAGCAAACGGGAUUAGAUACCCCGGUAGUCCACGCUGUAAACGAUGACGACUAGGUGUGGGGGGGUUCAGUCCCUUCCGUGCCGCAGCUAACGCAUUAAGUCGUCCGCCUGGGGAGUACGGCCGCAAGGUUGAAACUUAAAUGAAUUGACGG